ensembl:snRNA U6 U6 spliceosomal RNA
GUGCUCAUUUCAGCAGGACAUAUACUAAAAUUGGAAUGAUACAGAGAAGGUUAGCACAGCACCUGUGCAAGGAUGACACACAAAUUUAUGCAAACAUAGAAUAGCAU